rnacentral:rRNA from 1 species
CCUACGGGGGGCAGCAGUGGGGAAUAUUGCACAAUGGGGGAAACCCUGAUGCAGCGACGCCGCGUGGGCGACGAAGCGCUCCGGCGCGUAAAGCCCUGUCAGCAGGGAAGAAAAAAGACAGUACCUGACCAAGAAGCCCCGGCUAACUACGUGCCAGCAGCCGCGGUAAUACGUAGGGGGCAAGCGUUAUCCGGAUUCACUGGGCGUAAAGGGAGCGCAGGCGGCACGGCAAGUCUGGUGUGAAAGCCCGGGGCCCAACCCCGGGACUGCAUUGGAAACUGCCGGGCUGGAGUGCCGGAGGGGUA